CUUGUUCACAUAAGAGGUCCAGCCUGCCCAGUGACCCUGUUCAACGGCCGCGGUAUCCUAACCGUGCGAAGGUAGCGUAAUCACUUGUCUUCUAAAUAAAGACUAGUAUGAAAGGCACCACGAGAACUAAACUGUCUCCCUUUUUUAAUCAGUAAAACUAAUCUCCCCGUGAAGAAGCGGGAAUUCAAUAAUAAGACGAGAAGACCCUAUGGAGCUUUAAACACAUAACACCUGCCUCAUACGUUAGUACCACGCAAGAUGAUUAUAAGUUUUCAGUUGGGGCGACUACGGAGAAAACCCAUCCUCCGUGAUGAAUUUACAACAAGCUACAGCUUUAUGUAUCAACAAACUGACACCAUUGACCCAAUAUAUUGAUCAACGAAC
rnacentral:rRNA from 1 species